rnacentral:rRNA from 1 species
GAUGAACGCUGGCGGCGUGCUUAACACAUGCAAGUCGAACGAAGCACUUUAUUUGAUUUCCUUCGGGACUGAUUAUUUUGUGACUGAGUGGCGGACGGGUGAGUAACGCGUGGGUAACCUGCCUUGUACAGGGGGAUAACAGUUGGAAACGGCUGCUAAUACCGCAUAAGCGCACAGCAUCGCAUGAUGCAGUGUGAAAAACUCCGGUGGUAUAAGAUGGACCCGCGUUGGAUUAGCUAGUUGGUGAAGUAACGGCCCACCAAGGCGACGAUCCAUAGCCGACCUGAGAGGGUGACCGGCCACAUUGGGACUGAGACACGGCCCAAACUCCUACGGGAGGCAGCAGUGGGGAAUAUUGCACAAUGGGCGAAAGCCUGAUGCAGCGACGCCGCGUGAGCGAAGAAGUAUUUCGGUAUGUAAAGCUCUAUCAGCAGGGAAGAUAAUGACGGUACCUGACUAAGAAGCACCGGCUAAAUACGU